AACACAAGUCUCUACGCUCUAACAUUGGGGAAAUAUGGCAAACAGUGCCUCUCUUGAACAGAAUCAAAAUCACUGUUCAUCAGUCAACAACAGUAUGCCCCUGAUGCAGGGCAACCUCCCCACCCUGACCUUAUCUGGAAAGAUUCGAGUGACGGUAACGUUCUUCCUUUUUCUACUGUCCACAACCUUUAAUGCUUCUUUCUUGUUGAAACUUCAGAAGUGGACCCAGAAGAAAGAGAAAGGGAAAAAGCUCUCAAGAAUGAAGUUGCUUUUAAAACACCUGACUUUAGCCAACCUGUUGGAGACGCUGAUUGUCAUGCCACUAGAUGGAAUGUGGAACAUUACAGUACAAUGGUAUGCUGGAGAGUUCCUCUGCAAAUUUCUCAGCUAUCUGAAGCUUUUUUCCAUGUACGCCCCAGCCUUCAUGAUGGUGGUAAUCAGCCUGGACCGCUCCCUGGCCAUUACAAGGCCCCUAGACGUAAAAAGGAACAGCAAACUCGGACAGUCCAUGAUUUGCCUGGCCUGGAUCCUUAGUAGCAUCUUUGCUGGACCACAGGUAAAUCAUUAUUCAUGA